rnacentral:snRNA from 1 species
AUACUUACCUGGCAGGAGAGACACCAUGAUCACGGAGGUGGUUUUCACAGGGCGAGGCUCACCCAUUGCACUCUGGGUGUGCUGACCCCUGCAAUUUCCCCAAAUGUGGGAAACUCGACUGCAUAAUUUGUGGUAGUAGGGGACUGCAUUCACACUCUCCCCUG